rnacentral:rRNA from 1 species
UCCGUAGGUGAACCUGCGGAGGAUCACUA